rfam:Brachypodium distachyon strain Bd21 chromosome 3, whole genome shotgun sequence.
CGCUUACUCCCUCCAUCCAACAAAAUAUGUUUAAAAUUUGUUAAAUUUUGGAUGUAUCUAGACAUAACUUAGUGUAUAGAUGCAUUCAAAUUUAGUCAAAAUUGAGACAUCCUUUGUUGGACAGAGAAAGUACAUU